rnacentral:rRNA from 1 species
AGUGAACGCUGGCGGUAGGCCUAACACAUGCAAGCCGAACGGCAGCACAGUAAGAGCUUGCUCUUACGGGUGGCGAGUGGCGGACGGGUGAGGAUUACAUCGGAAUCUACUUUUUCGUGGGGGAUAACGUAGGGAAACUUACGCUAAUACCGCAUACGACCUACGGGUGAAAGCAGGGGAUCUUCGGACCUUGCGCGAUUGAAUGCGCCGAUGUCGGAUUAGCUAGUUGGCGGGGUAAAGGCCCACCAAGGCGACGAUCCGUAGCUGGUCUGAGAGGAUGAUCAGCCACACUGGAACUGAGACACGGUCCAGACUCCUACGGGAGGCAGCAGUGGGGAAUAUUGGACAAUGGGCGCAAGCCUGAUCCAGCCAUACCGCGUGGGUGAAGAAGGCCUUCGGGUUGUAAAGCCCUUUUGUUGGGAAAGAAAAGCAGCAGGUUAAUACCCCGCUGUUCUGACGGUACCCAAAGAAUAAGCACCGGCUAACUUCGUG